UCGAAUCCUGCACGACCCACCAAUAUACAAGGUGGUAACCGGUAGAGAACGUGAAGGAUAACGUUGCUUUAGCAACGGCCCGAAGGGCGAGGCGAAGCCGAGUCAUCCUGCACGACCCACCA
rnacentral:sRNA from 1 species